GAUGAACGCUGGCGGCGUGCCUAAUACAUGCAAGUCGAGCGAACAGACGAGGAGCUUGCUCCUCUGACGUUAGCGGCGGACGGGUGAGUAACACGUGGAUAACCUACCUAUAAGACUGGGAUAACUUCGGGAAACCGGAGCUAAUACCGGAUAAUAUAUUGAACCGCAUGGUUCAAUAGUGAAAGACGGUUUUGCUGUCACUUAUAGAUGGAUCCGCGCCGCAUUAGCUAGUUGGUAAGGUAACGGCUUACCAAGGCGACGAUGCGUAGCCGACCUGAGAGGGUGAUCGGCCACACUGGAACUGAGACACGGUCCAGACUCCUACGGGAGGCAGCAGUAGGGAAUCUUCCGCAAUGGGCGAAAGCCUGACGGAGCAACGCCGCGUGAGUGAUGAAGGUCUUCGGAUCGUAAAACUCUGUUAUUAGGGAAGAACAAAUGUGUAAGUAACGAUGCACGUCUUGACGGUACCUAAUCAGAAAGCCACGGCUAACUACGU
rnacentral:rRNA from 1 species